rnacentral:rRNA from 1 species
CCUACGGGAGGCUGCAGUCGAGAAUCAUUCACAAUGGGGGAAACCCUGAUGGUGCGACGCCGCGUGGGGGAAUGAAGGUCUUCGGAUUGUAAACCCCUGUCAUGUGGGAGCAAAUUAAAAAGAUAGUACCACAAGAGGAAGAGACGGCUAACUCGGUGCCAGCAGCCGCGGUAAUCCAGAGGUCUCAAGCGUUGUUCGGAAUCACUGGGCGUAAAGCGUGCGUAGGCUGUUUCGUAAGUCGGGUGUGAAAGGCGCGGGCUCAACCCGCGGAUGGCACAUGAUACUGCGAGACUAGAGUAAUGGAGGGGGAACCGGAAUUCUCGGUGUAGCAGUGAAAUGCGUAGAUAUCGAGAGGAACACUCGUGGCGAAGGCGGGUUCCUGGACAUUAACUGACGCUGAGGCACGAAGGCCAGGGGAGCGAAAGGGAUUAGAUACCCUAGUAGUC